UACGGGGGGGGCAAGCGUUGUUCGGAAUUACUGGGCGUAAAGGGCUCGUAGGUGGCCAACUAAGUCAGACGUGAAAUCCCUCGGCUUAACCGGGGAACUGCGUCUGAUACUGGAUGGCUUGAGUUCGGGAGAGGGAUGCGGAAUUCCAGGUGUAACGGUGAAAUGCGUAGAUAUCUGGAGGAACACCGGUGGCGAAGGCGGCAUCCUGGACCGACACUGACACUGAGGAGCGAAAGCCAGGGGAGCAAACGGG
rnacentral:rRNA from 1 species